AUGAACUCUCCUCCUAAGCUGGUGAUUAUACUCUACUUAAUGUUUGGAGAAAGCAAUGGAGACUUGGUGACUCAGACAGAAGGCCAAGUGACACUCUCUGAAGGGAUUUCUCUGACUGUGAACUGUUCCUAUGAAACCAAACAGUACCCAACCCUGUUCUGGUAUGUGCAGUAUCCCGGAGAAGGUCCACAGCUCCUCAUUACAGCCUCAUGGAACAAGGAGAAGGGAAGCAGCAGAGGUUUUGAAGCCACGUAUAAUAAAGAAACCACCUCCUUCCACUUGCAGAAAGCCUCCGUGCAGGAGUCAGACUCGGCUGUGUACUACUGUGCUCUGAGUGACACAGUGGCAGAAACCACAGGGAGAGUGGAGCACAAACUCUGA